CAACAAAGUUUAGAGACCAUCAAUUUCCCCAAGAGUAUGGUGCUACUUUCAUGGCAGCAAAGAUUUGGAUGCAAUCCUACUGGAGCUAACAUUAUGAACACAGUGUCUGAUUCCCAUUUAACAGCAACUUGACAGGACAUGCUAAGAUCAAGUGAAGGACUGAACUGGGACAAGGAAAUAAAGGAAACAGGAAUAUUUCAACA